AAAGAAACUUCGGAAAAACAUUAAUUUUUGUAUUCCGACAAGAAAGACAUUGCUGAGCAACAGAAGAGAUUUAUUAUAUUCUCUUACCUAUUCAUGGAAGCAGUAAAGAAAAACUUAAUUACGGACAAAGACAUCAUCUUACAUAAUAGAAUGUGGUCCCAACAUUUGCAGGAUCUGGUCAACGGUGGAAAUGAAAAGGAAGCUAAAAGUACCUUAGAAUUUUGGAGGACGGGGAAGAU